rnacentral:rRNA from 1 species
AUUGAACGCUGGCGGCAUGCCUUACACAUGCAAGUCGAACGGCAGCACGGGUGCUUGCACCUGGUGGCGAGUGGCGAACGGGUGAGUAAUACAUCGGAACAUGUCCUGUAGUGGGGGAUAGCCCGGCGAAAGCCGGAUUAAUACCGCAUACGAUCUACGGAUGAAAGCGGGGGACCUUCGGGCCUCGCGCUAUAGGGUUGGCCGAUGGCUGAUUAGCUAGUUGGUGGGGUAAAGGCCUACCAAGGCGACGAUCAGUAGCUGGUCUGAGAGGACGAUCAGCCACACUGGGACUGAGACACGGCCCAGACUCCUACGGGAGGCAGCAGUGGGGAAUUUUGGACAAUGGGCGAAAGCCUGAUCCAGCAAUGCCGCGUGUGUGAAGAAGGCCUUCGGGUUGUAAAGCACUUUUGUCCGGAAAGAAAUCCUUGGCCCUAAUACGGUCGGGGGAUGACGGUACCAGAAGAAUAAGCACCGGCUAACUACGUG